UGUGCUCAAGAAAUCCUCCAAUAGGCACAACAGGCCUUCAGAGUUCAAGGAGUGGACAUGCACCCUUAAGUAACCUGGUGGGGGACCCAUCACACUACAGAAGGAUUGGAGUGAUACAAGACAAAGGACAAGAAAACCUACCAACAGUGACUGGAAGCUGUAUCUUUGUGGUAGUUUCUAUUUGCCUAUCUACAUAACAUUUUUCAUUUGUGCCCUGGUACAUUGAAUAUGUGAGGGUGUUCUCUGUCAGAAAGUCAAAUGGCUUAGUCCUCAAAUACAGGUAUAAGUCUUAGCCCUUGAGUCCUUCCAGGUCACCAAUUUUGGCAAUGCAGGCUGCAUACUGCCCAGCUCCAAGGCCACCAUUCACAGAGACCACAAUGUCAGUGGUUCAACUGAAGUCAUCCAACAUGGUGACCCCAGGUACAACUAAAGAUGGAGAUGUUAUGAAGACAUCCUUGUCCUUGGAUGAUGAGGAGCUCUUCUUCAUCUCUUAUACUCUGAAUAGGAGUGGAGGAGGAACUUCUCUGCACCUGCUGAGGCCCUAAGUCCUACUGCAAGAGAACGUGAAGAUCUCUCUUAGCUUAAGGUGGAUGGUGCAUUGAGUCCUGGGUAUAGACAAUGGCU
rnacentral:lncRNA from 1 species